rnacentral:rRNA from 1 species
AUACGGAGGGUGCGAGCGUUAAUCGGAAUUACUGGGCGUAAAGCGUACGUAGGCGGUUUGCUAAGUCAGAUGUGAAAGCCCCGGGCUUAACCUGGGAACUGCAUUUGAUACUGGCAGACUAGAGUAUGAUAGAGGGGGGUAGAAUUCCUGGUGUAGCGGUGAAAUGCGUAGAUAUCAGGAGGAAUACCAGUGGCGAAGGCGGCCCCCUGGAUCAAUACUGACGCUGAGGUACGAAAGCGUGGGUAGCAAACGGGAUUAGAUACCCUAGUAGUCC